AUGCUAUCUGUUUGCAAUACUGGUAUCUUCCUGGUUGGGGAGCUUCGUGGACAGGCCGAGCUGACCAGUAAACAAUCAGAGAGGGAAGUGUACAUUUUCAGGAUAAAAUGGAGGGUGUUGUUGCCACAAGAGGUCGAAGCAAUCUCGCUGUCUCGGCAGACGGGGAGGUGAGCGUCAACAGAGAGGUUACCAUGACGGCGCUGGCACAUGAUGAAGAAGGAAAUGUUUUCUUAAGAGUGUUCCGUGCACGCACCCGGCAGGUUGUGGGUCAAGUCUCUGGAAUAUUUGCCAUUUCGGGAUCUGAAGAGGAGUCUGCACCGAGUCGUCACCAUUCUGUCACCAUGCCUGACGACGAUGACGAUAUCGAUAAAAUGUCAGUGAAAGUGUGUGUCUGCAUCUUUUCCCUUAUCUUUGGUUCGCUGCCUGUGGCCAUGAUAGUUGUUGGCAUCCUUGACUACAAUCUGUGCCCAGGCAACACCAGACUCGCCAUCUACAUGAUAGCCCAGGGAGCCACCUCUGUCGUCAUCCCCAUCCUGGCAUCCUGCUGGUUUUGCUGCAGGUGUAUUUCAGGAAACUUCAUAGGCGCUAUCUGUGUCAUCAUUGGAUUGUUUAACAUCGGAUGGGGAAUUGUAGGUUCCCUGUGGCUCGCCUCGUCUCCGUGCAAGGAUACGCUUCUAUUCACCCACGCCCUCGGCUUCUCUGUGCCCAUGUGGAUCUUCUACUGCCUCGUGCCCCUGCUGUGCGUGUGUUGUGUGAGAGCCUGGUGCAAGGGCGACGAUUAAACAGGCGGUGGGUUUGGCAGUUGCUUCAGCGUGGAUGAACCAGGUUAUUCGAACAAACUUUACUGGAUGGGCUGAGAUGACAUAUGCGCAGCAGCGAAGAAUCGAGUCCUGGACAAGAAUUACAUAUGUUUUAAUCGAUCAUGUUGUCUGUGAUCAUUAUGUUCAGUAUGGCCAAAUUGUACCUAUUCGUAAGAAAGGCAUACUACUUCAGUCAACAAUUAUAGACGUUUUCGAACAUAUUCUGUUUCCAGAAGAAGAGGUAAAUUAUAUGCAUAUUUUAUAGACUUUCAUAGGCUUAGACACUUGACUCCAUUCAUCAAAUGUAACAGUCUUAAUAUAUUUGUCAGUGGAUAUAAAUAAAUAUUUCAAUGACCA
rnacentral:misc_RNA from 1 species